rnacentral:rRNA from 1 species
GUGAGUCAUCGAAUCUUUGAACGCACCUUGCGCUCCCUGGUAUUCCGGGGAGCAUGCCUGUUUGAGUGUCAUGAACUCUUCAACUCCCCAAUUUCUAGUAGAUUGUGUGGAUGUUUGGAUUUUGUAAUGUUUGCUGGCUUCUUUUGAAGCGAAGCUCGUUCGUAAUACAUUAGCAUUUCUAAUUCGAACUCGGAUUGACUCAGUGUAAUAGACUAUUCGCUGAGGACACCAAGCAAUUGGUGGCCGUGUUCAAUACAAGAGAAGCUUCUAAUCCCUCUAGUCAUUUUUGAUUUAGACCUCAAAUCAGGUAGGACUACCCGCUGAACUUAAGCAUAUCAAUAAGCGGAGG